GAGUUUGAUCGUGGCUCAGAUUGAACGCUAGCGGGAUGCCUUACACAUGCAGGUCGAACGGCAGCACGGACUUCGGUCUGGUGGCGAGUGGCGAACGGGUGAGUAAUGUAUCGGAACGUGCCUAGUAGCGGGGGGAUAACUACGCGAAAGCGUAGCUAAUACCGCAUACGCCCUACGGGGAAAGGCAGGGGAGUCGCAAGACCUUGCACUAUUAGAGCGGCCGAUAUCGGAUUAGCUAGUUGGUGGGGUAACGGCUCACCAAGGCGACGAUCCGUAGCUGGUUUGAGAGGACGACCAGCCACACCUGGGACUGAGACACGGCCCAGACUCCUACGGGAGGC
rnacentral:rRNA from 1 species